rnacentral:rRNA from 1 species
UGGGGAAUAUUGGACAAUGGGCGCAAGCCUGAUCCAGCCAUGCCGCGUGAGUGAUGAAGGCCCUAGGGUUGUAAAGCUCUUUCACCGGUGAAGAUAAUGACGGUAACCGGAGAAGAAGCUCCGGCUAACUUCGUGCCAGCAGCCGCGGUAAUACGAAGGGGGCUAGCGUUGUUCGGAUUUACUGGGCGUAAAGCGCACGUAGGCGGACUUUUAAGUCAGGGGUGAAAUCCCGGGGCUCAACCCCGGAACUGCCUUUGAUACUGGAAGUCUUGAGUAUGGUAGAGGUGAGUGGAAUUCCGGGUGGAGAGGUGAAAUACGUGGAUAUUCAGAGGAACGCCAGUGGCGAAGGCGGCUCACUGGACAAAUACUGACGCUGAGGUGCGAAAGCGUGGGGAGCAAACAGG